UCUCAAGAUGUUAAUUACGAGAUCUUCAUGUCUGAUUUGAUCUUUUGUCUCCUGCUUCUUUUACCUUGUUUUACCUUAGCUGCUUUGCAUGGAAUGAAUCUUUGAUGUUUACUACUGUUGGUCUCUCUUCUCUGACCACAGAGGACUUAAAGCAAGGCUCCAAAGAUAUCCAUGGCACUUCACCAAAUAUGUGUGUUUCACGAUGAAGAAACUGUGGCUUUAUAAGCCCUGGAAUACAUAACCCUUAACACAGACUACUUCAUCUGGAUAUGUGCUGACUUGGAGCAGCUGAGAACCUCUCCCUUGUGUCCGGAUUUACUGCCCAUCUGGAAGACACUGAAGCUAGAGUUUAUACAGAACUGGGUCAUAACUUAAGCCACAUUAAAGAAGAGAUCAGAACAGUCAUAUAUAGAAUUCCUUUCAAGCUGCAUUUGCUAUUAAACUGAAAAUAGCUCCAAUUUCCAAAACAAAGGUGAACCUCAAAUGAAGCCAGCUCUGAGGUUGGUGAACGGGCUGUGAGUUACAUCAGCGCUUAGUCACUGGCAGCAAGUCCCCAUGGCAAGGGCAAAGC
rnacentral:lncRNA from 1 species